UACGAAGGUCCCGAGCGUUAUCCGGAUUUAUUGGGUUUAAAGGGUGCGUAGGCGGGUUAUUAAGUCAGUGGUGAAAGCCUUCAGCUUAACUGAAGAAUUGCCAUUGAUACUGAUGAUCUUGAGUAUGAUUGAGGUGGGCGGAAUGUGUCAUGUAGCGGUGAAAUGCUUAGAUAUGACACAGAACACCGGUGGCGAAGGCGGCGACCUGGGUCGAUACUGACGCUGAUGCGCGAAAGCGUGGGGAGCAAACAGG
rnacentral:rRNA from 1 species